GAUGAACGCUGGCGGCGUGCCUAAUACAUGCAAGUCGAGCGAACGGACGAGAAGCUUGCUUCUCUGAUGUUUGCGGCGGACGGGUGUGUAACACGUGGAUAACCUACCUAUAAGACUGGGAUAACUUCGGGAAACCGGCGCUAAUACCGGAUAAUAUUUUGAACCGCAUGGUUCAAAAGUGAAAGACGGUCUUGCUGUCACUUAUAGCUGGAUCCGCGCUGCAUUAGCUAGUUGGUAAGGUAACGGCUUACCAAGGCAACGAUGCAUAGCCGACCUGAGAGGGUGAUCGGCCACACUGGAACGGAGACACGGACCAGGCUCCUAAGGGAGGGAGCAGUAGGGAAUCUUCCGCAAUGGGCGAAAGCCUGACGGAGCAACGCCGCGUGAGUGAUGAAGGUCUUCGGAUCGUAAAACUCUGUUAUUAGGGAAGAACAUAUGUGUAAGUAACUGUGCACAUCGUGACGGUACCUAAUCAGAAAGCCACGGCUAACUACGUG
rnacentral:rRNA from 1 species